CCUACGGGUGGCAGCAGUGAGGAAUAUUGGUCAAUGGGCGGAAGCCUGAACCAGCCAAGUAGCGUGCGGGAUGAAGGCCCUACGGGUCGUAAACCGCUUUUGCACGGGGAUAACACCCUCCACUUGUGGAGGUCUGCAGGUACCCUGCGAAUAAGGGCCGGCUAAUUCCGUGCCAGCAGCCGGGGGUAAACGGAAGGCCCGAGCGUUAUCCGGAUUCAUUGGGCUUAAAGGGAGCGUAGGCGGGCGUUCAAGUCAGCUGGAAAAUCGCGCGGCUCAACCGCCCCCCGCCGUUGAAACUGGACGCCUUGAGUUAACAACAGGCAGGCGGAAUUCGUGGUGUAGCGGUGAAAUGCAUAGAUAUCACGAGGAACCCCGAUUGCGAAGGCAGCCUGCCGGGGUGCGACUGACGCUGAGGCUCGAAGGUGCGGGUAUCAAACAGGAUUAGAUACCCUAGUAGUC
rnacentral:rRNA from 1 species